rnacentral:rRNA from 1 species
GACGAACGCUGGCGGCGUGCUUAACACAUGCAAGUCGAACGGAAAGGCCCUGCUUUUGUGGGGUGCUCGAGUGGCGAACGGGUGAGUAACACGUGAGUAACCUGCCCUUGACUUUGGGAUAACUUCGGGAAACUGGGGCUAAUACCGGAUAGGAGCUCCUGCUGCAUGGUGGGGGUUGGAAAGUUUCGGCGGUUGGGGAUGGACUCGCGGCUUAUCAGCUUGUUGGUGGGGUAGUGGCUUACCAAGGCUUUGACGGGUAGCCGGCCUGAGAGGGUGACCGGCCACAUUGGGACUGGGAUACGGCCCAGACUCCUACGGGAGGCAGCAGUGGGGAAUAGUGCACAAUGGGCGGAAGCCUGAUGCAGCAACGCCGCGUGCGGGAUGACGGCCUUCGGGUUGUAAACCGCUUUCGCCUGUGACGAAGCGUGAGUGACGGUAAUGGGUAAAGAAGCACCGGCUAACUACGUG